CAAUAGCGUAUAUUAAAGUUGUUGCAGUUAAAAAGCUCGUAGUUGGAUUUCUGGUCGGAAGCUCCUGUCCUCUGAUGAGCGUACAAGUGCGUCCUACCAUCCUUCUGUUAACCUUUAAGGCUUUCGCGGCUUUCUAGGGGCUCAGAUAUUUUACCUUGAGAAAAUUAGAGUGUUUCAGGCAGGCUAGCGCCGGAAUACAUUAGCAUGGAAUAAUGGAAUAGGACUUUUGCCUCUUCUGUUGGUCAUGAGGCUCGAGUAAUGAUUAAUAGGGAUAGUUGGGGGCAUUAGUACUUAACUGUCAGAGGUGAAAUUCUCGGAUUUGUUAAAGACUAACUUAUGCGAAAGCAUUUGCCGAGGAUGUUUNCAUUAA
rnacentral:rRNA from 1 species